AUGAAUUGCUUGGCCUGGAACUAUCGAGGACUGGGGUUGGACUCGACAGUUGGCGAACUCCGGGACCUUAUACGGUCAUACAACCCAGCGGUGGUCUUUUUAUCAGAAACUAAGAAGAGUGCAAAGGCUAUGGAGAGACUCAAAUGGAGGCUCGGGUUCCGAAGUGGUGUGGCAGUGGACUGUAAUGGGAAGAGCGGGGGGCUUGCUCUCUGGUGG
rnacentral:rRNA from 1 species